rnacentral:rRNA from 1 species
ACAAGUUUGACCUCAAAUCAGGUAGGAUUACCCGCUGAACUUAAGCAUAUCAAUAAGCGGAGGAAAAGAAACCAACAGGGAUUGCCUUAGUAACGGCGAGUGAAGCGGCAAAAGCUCAAAUUUGAAAUCUGGCACCUUCGGUGUCCGAGUUGUAAUUUGAAGAAGGUAACUUUGGAGUUGGCUCUUGUCUAUGUUCCUUGGAACAGGACGUCACAGAGGGUGAGAAUCCCGUGCGAUGAGAUGCCCAAUUCUAUGUAAAGUGCUUUCGAAGAGUCGAGUUGUUUGGGAAUGCAGCUCUAAGUGGGUGGUAAAUUCCAUCUAAAGCUAAAUAUUGGCGAGAGACCGAUAGCGAACAAGUACAGUGAUGGAAAGAUGAAAAGAACUUUGAAAAGAGAGUGAAAAAGUACGUGAAAUUGUUGAAAGGGAAGGGCUUGAGAUCAGACUUGGUAUUUUGCGAUCCUUUCCUUCUUGGUUGGGUUCCUCGCAGCUUACUGGGCCAGCAUCGGUUUGGAUGGUAGGAUAAUGACUAAGGAAUGUGGCUCUACUUCGGUGGAGUGUUAUAGCCUUGGUUGAUACUGCCUGUCUAGACCGAGGACUG